CCUCAUUUAAGGGCUGUCAGCCAAAGGGGGAGCAUCUCUACUUGAUGAUUUUUUCCUUUGGGAGUUUUUCAGUGAGCUCCUCUCCUCAGAAACUGGUGGCGUUCUAGACAUCCAAUACCUGUCAAAGCUACCGUGCAAACACAAUGACUAUUAUAAACCACAGGAGAUGAAUUCCAUUUGGUUUGUUGCAUUUGGUAUUCCUGAGUUUCAAGUAGUUGAGGAUGCCUCCUGCUCGAAGGAAGAAGGCUUUGCUUUAUUGAACAAGGAGACUACAGGAAUUAUGAAGUCAUAUUUGCUGGGGAAGUACUUGGGAUGAGAUCUUCUGUAAGCCAGAAGUUUGUUCAGCUCACAGGACAGAGUGAUAUGGAGGUCUGCUGAAGCAUGGCCACAUUAGCAGGCUUCCUGCUGCUUCUGCCCUGCUUGAGGGAAAGCAGAACAGUUCGUGCAGGUUGCUAGAAAUCAGCAGCAUUUAUAUCCAUUGAUUUCACCUCAGCACAUCCCUUUGCUGAUGCAGUUACUAUGGGCUGGCCUGACUGAAUAGCCUGAGCUGAGACUGUAGGGUACAAACAGUUAUCUAAUUAUUCAUUCCUGUUAAUGUCAUCACUUUGCACCAGAAGAGGGGUGUGGGUAUCAAGGUUUCAUUAGCUUUUAACUAGAACAGGGCUAGAGCUUAUGAAAGCUUGAUAUAUUUACAAGAGGUAGCUAAUGAUAUUCAGAGGUCAGAAUUUUAUUAGGAAGAGAGAAUGCUGCUGCUCAGAAACUCUGUCACCUGCAUAAGGACUGUGGUUUCCCCCUCCCGCCCCCCAAUACAUUCUCUUCUGGGGAGAAGAAAGAACAAGAACUACUGGGGGAAAAGGCUGAAUUGUUCAGGGAAGGGGACAUGAAGUUAAAGAAGGGACAACAAAGAGAGAAAGAGACUUCAGGAGAUGCAGAGAGCUAAAUGAGAGCAUGCUGAGGUGAAAACUUGGAAAUUUAUCCAGAGUUCUUGUGUCUCUGCUAUCCUGCAAGCGCAGGGGCUUUGAAACCUUGAUAUCCUGGCAGUGUAUCUAUUAGCUUUAGAUGUCAGAAGUGCAAACUUGUGAUGCUACACCACCAGCUAAUACACAUCUGCUGCUGUUGUUCACCUUUACAGAGGAUAAACCUGUUACUGCCGAUUUGCUGGGUGUGUGCUAUGGUCCUCUGGGUCACAGCAUGGCUCAGUAAAUGUUGAAAGAAGAGAUUAGUGUCCUACAUCAUGCCCUACUCUGCAUAGCAUUCUCCCUAGUUUAUGCACUUUUACCACUUUUUUCCUGCCUACGUGGGCAGAUCACUGUGCAAAUUUGCAGAGCUCAGCUUGCACUAAAAGUCCCACGAAAACUCUCAGCUUUGCAGCCUCAGGGCAUUCAUGUUUUUAUUUAAAAAACAAACAACCUAUGAAGUCUGUAGAAGAUAUACCCAAGUGUGUGUUUGGUGUAAACAGUGAGUCUGUUUACUGGAAUAUGACUCUUCAUUUAUUGCUUUGACAGAGUGAGAAUAUGUUCAGGCUAUGGAUGUUCAGCAUUUGAUACAGUUACAAGUAUUUGGUUGAGAGGAGUCUGCACCUUCAGGUGGUCCCAGCUGUAGACUUUAUGCCACAGCCAGCCAUCACACUGUUUGAGUGAUAUCUUAUCACCAGAGGCAACAUCAGCGUGGAAAGAAAGGUGUUCUGCCUGCAUGACACUCAUCUGGAGUGGCAUUACUCAAUACCUUGCAAAAGGUGUGGGAUGCCAGAGAGUUUGAAAAGAUGUUCUCACAGCACCUCACGAAUUCAAAUGAUCCAGCUCUAUCAUCUCACUCACCACUGAGGUUUUAACGGUGGCAUUAAAAAUGAGUGGAACUGCAGGUGGCAAAAUGCUUGGCAUCUCCCAGACUGCAGUUUCCACGGAAAUAAACAGAGGGCAUUACCCUCAGAGAGACCUACAUAUUUACAUAUAUCAAGAUUCAUUCUCUGAACUUUAAAUCACACUAUUCUGGAUUAAAUAGUCAUAAUUCUUCUACAAUUAAAUUGAUCAUUUGAUUGUGCUCUUGGUCUUUUACCCUUUCAAAUAGAAUAAAUAGACUUUUUUCAUUAUGCCUUCAUGAUAAAACCCAUUUUUCAGAACUCAUUAUUCUUGUAACUCUUUUCUAGUUGUUUUCAGUCUAUCUUCUCUUUGAACUCCCGACCCUAAACAUGAAGAACAUUUUCAAAUAAUAGUCUCAUUUAAUUUCACCAUUCCUACAAAAUAUCAAUCACUACAUUCAGCCCAGGGAAAGAGCUGGUAAAAGCACAAGUAUGCUUAAAUAAUAAAACAUAAUGGCAUGGAUAAACAUUACACUAAAUAUUAAAGACAAGAAAGCAAUUACCAGAGCUUGGAGUAGCCUUUCUUCAUUACUGCAUCCCUAUGGUAAUGUCCAACAGGCACUAAAUAAAUUCCGUUAAGCAAACUGAAUAUGGUUUAAAGUUAGAAAUAAUUGAUGUGAUUAAAUCCAUGUAUUCGUUCUGCUGACUUUAUCCUUCAUGCAGUACUCCUCAUACACAGGAAAAUGAAGAAGUAGGGUGCUUGGUGGUUCUGUAUUGGCUGUGCUAGAACACAAACCAUGUAAAUGUGUGAUAGUUUGAAUUUUAAGCUAAAGUAGAGCUUGAAUUUUUACGUUGCCAUCAACUGAUGUAAUUUAGCUUACCCAUGAAGGCCCUUUGUAUCAAGCUGUGUAGUUGUGCUUACAACAGGGUGUGUAACGCUGACAAUCAUUAACAUUUCUUUAGAUGUUCCAUCUGUGUUCCACAACCUCAUGUAGAUUAUGAGAUCUGAAACUGAUCAGAGAGAUCUCACUGAAACGAAAUACUGUAUCAAUUAUUUUUUCAGCCUUUUAUGGCUUAAUGUUUUUCCCUGUCUACAAUUCCUCAGUAUACAAUUUUUAUCAUUCGUUUGGAAACUUCAGACAUUUUCUUUGAUUAAAAACAAAAGAAAAAACACUUUUUAUCGGUCUUAGUUACAGCAAACUAAAAAUUACUUAGAUUAUAAGAUGUUACAUUGUCAGUGUUACUGUUCUUUUAAUAAUGUUACCUUGAAAGGCCUCAGAUAUAUUACAUCAUGUUGUGGAGCCUUCACAUUCGAAUCUGAUAGCUCUGGGUGAGGUAUGACAAUGUCAUGAGUGACAGAGAGAUAUCUCCACUGUAUCAGAAGAUACCCAUCCUUCUGACAACUACCACUUCAUGUCACCCGCGUGGAUUUCCUGAUAUAAGUUUGACAAACACCACUGCACCUUCGCUUCUGAAUGAUUCCAUUUUUGUGAUAGACAAAAAAACCAUUUGCUAUGACUUUAUUUUCAGAAAUAAUUGAAAUACUUUGGCUUACAUUUUCUAAAAAUGUUUCAAUAUGUAUGCACCACAGAAAUCAUGUAUCUCAAAAGCUGAAAUUUACCCAUGUUAUGAGCAACUGAAACCAGGAAUGUUUAAUCCAAGACACUGGGAAUCCUCAAAGAGGUGGCGUUGCUAAGCCCACCUAUAAUAGGGGAGAAAAAUUUUACUGGAGAUCAGAAGAAUGGUGUCACAGUGCUUGUGAUGAUACCUGGUGCUGAGGGUGGAGCUGUGAGUUUCUUUUUCUCCCUUCUUCUCAGCAAUAUUCUCGUUUCUCUCCAUCAUAUUCAGAAAGUUGUGGCUGUCAGGCAGUUCCCAGUGACUGGAAAAAGGGAAACAUCUUUCCCAUUUUUAAGUAAGGGAGAAAGGAAGACGUGGGGAACUGCAAGCUGGCAAGUCUCACUUCUGUGCCUGGGAAGGCACAUGUGAGAUGAGGAAAUGAACCGAGACAGCCAGCAUGGUUUACCGAGGGCAGAUCAUGGCAGGACAAGGGCGAAUGGCUUUAAACAAAAAGAGAGGAGAUUUAGGUUAGAAGUUAGGUGGAAAAUCUUUACUCAAAGGGCACUAAGGCUCUGGCACAGGCUGCCAGAGAGUUAUGGGUGCCUCAUCUCUGGAGGUUGGAUGGGGCCCUGAGUAGCCCAACGUGGGGGCAACCAGCCCAUGGUAGGGGGUUGGACUGAAUGAGCUUCAAGUUCCCUUCCAACCUAAGCCAUUCUGUGAUUCUGUGAUUCUACGUUUCUUUGUUCAUACAAUUUACUGUAACAUUUGCAGCACUGUUGUGCCUACCUCAAGGAUCUGAAUUUCAGUCUGACAACACUACAACAAUUCAGAACCGUCAUCUCAGUAUAUUCACAGCAGCAAUGCCAGCCAUGUGCCCAGGUCCCCUGGAUUGCUCUAUGAUCUUCUCUCAGAAGAUGACAUAACUUUAUUAACUACAUUUAGUAACCAACUCACAAAACAAGAUGACUCAGUUGCAAAGCCAACUGAUGCAUGAUAUCAAGGAAACCUGAGAACUUUUGCUUCUGAGUAGAUUUGGCAACUUUCAAUUUUGUUUAUUGAGUUUGUAAUUUUAAUUUUGUUAAUCAAACAAAAACAAAUGUGAGAACUAAGAAUAGAUGUGUAUCUUUAAAUGCAUUCUGUUCUGAUAAAAAUUGUUUUGAUAAAAACGGCCAUCUGCUCAAAUCUCAUUUCUCCUUUUUUUUUUUUUUUCUGCAAG
ensembl:lncRNA